CUACGGGGCGCUGCAGUGGGGAAUAUUGGACAAUGGGGGAAACCCUGAUCCAGCAAUGCCGCGUGUGUGAAGAAGGCCUGCGGGUUGUAAAGCACUUUCGGUUGGGAGGACUGCUUCUAGCACUAAUAUUGUUGGAAGUUGACGUUACCUUCAGAAGAAGCACCGGCUAACUCCGUGCCAGCAGCCGCAGUAAUACGGAGGGUGCAAGCUUUAAUCGGAAUUACUGGGCGUAAAGCGCGCGUAGGCGGCUAGAUCAGUCGGGUGUGAAAGCCCCGGGCUUAACCUGGGAACUGCAUCCGAUACUGUCUAGCUUGAGUACAGGAGAGGAGAGUGGAAUUCCACAUGUAGCGGUGAAAUGCGUAGAUAUGUGGAGGAACACCAAUGGCGAAGGCAGCUCUCUGGCCUGAUACUGACGCUGAGGUGCGAAAGCGUGGGGAGCAAACAGGAUUAGAUACCCCCGUAGUC
rnacentral:rRNA from 1 species